UGGGGAGGGCGCGGGGCGAGCAGCCCGUGCGGCGUGAAUAUUCAGCAGGGGUGGGGCCCGAACAAUGGCCGGCCGGCGGGCACCGCGAACCGCGGCCGGGACGCGGCGGCCGGCAGACGGGGCGCUCGCGGGAGAGCCAGAGCAGGGAUGAGACGGACCGGGGCGUCCCCGGUGAGGUGCCGAGGGCUACGUUUGUGGCAGGCUUGUAGGUGAGGAAUUUGUUGAGCAUCACCUGGCCGCCGGGUCCCAAGGCUUUCUUGGAAACAGUACCCAAACCAGCACCUGUAAUUGCCUUGCGCUGCCUUUCUUAACCUCACUCAGUAGUGGUGAACUAUUGUAGAAAAUAUCAUCAGGACCAGAUCAAGAGGCCAGCCAUGACUAAUGUGGAUUACCUGGAUUUGUCUUAAUUCUUGGCUAUGGGCAGCUCCAUGAGGUCAGUUGGGAGUGGGGACCCUGCUGUUGGGAAGACGGAGAGCUGAUCAAGAAAGUAUAAAUGUGUCUGGAUCAGCAAAAAGUCUUCAUCACUCCUAGAAAUGCAACUCAGAGUCACAAAAAGGAAAGACCACUUAUUCUCACAGAAAUACAUUUUUUUUAAAGAUU